rnacentral:misc_RNA from 1 species
UCACCCCUCAAGCUUAGCUUGGUGUUGGAGCUUGCCCGUCACAGGGCAGCCCCUAAAAGCAGUGGCGGUGCCAACUGGCUCUACGCGUAGUAAUACUUCUCGCGAUGGAGUCCCGUUGGUGUCCUGCCAGAACCCCCAUAUUUUUUAAU